rnacentral:lncRNA from 1 species
UCUAAUCGCUUUUCAUCAUCGAACACUACUCCUUUAGUUUUCUCAUUCUUGUUAAUUUGCAGUGAGAUUUUAUCAAAAUUGUAAUUUAUCUAAUACAUUGUUCAUCAACAGGUAUAAUUAGAGGAUUCUUAAUAAAGAUCUAAUCGCCUCUCACGAAUUGAUGGUUGGCCUGCCGCUAGGUAAUUGACUUUGAUUAUUUUUGAAUUUGCU